rnacentral:lncRNA from 1 species
AUUCCCAUACUCAACUUCAGCUAACUGAUUGCUUCAGAUAGACGGCAAGAUGAUAAUUUUCACCGCAAUAAAUUAACUUUGAGGAAGGUAUUGUCGCUAUGAAACAUUUGGACAGCCAUGAGGCCAUAGCUCGGCCUUGUUAAAUUUGAAAUUUUUUGUUGUCCUAAUUUUAAAAUCAUAAUCCCAAAUCUACGGUAUUACUCUAUAAAAAAUGAUAACUUUCUAAAAAUAGCAGAUUUUAAAAAAUUUAUUUAAAAAACUACAACUUACUGAUCAAAAUUCUAAAGGAAUAUCAUAUAUCAAUAAAAAAUAUUGUUAUUUUAAUUUCUAAAUUAAAAGCUCAAAUCUACAAUAUUUCUCUAUAAAAUGAUGACUUUCAAAAAUAGCAGUUUUUUAAAAUACAACAUAUUAAUCACAAGUUCUAAAAGAAUACUCAUAUAUCAACAAAAUUAUUUUUAUCCUAAUUUCUAACUCAGAAUCUCAAAUCCACAAUAGUUCUUUAUAAAAUGAUAACUUUCCAAAAAUAGCAGUUUUUAAAAUUUUAUUUAAAAAACAGAACCUAUUGAUCGAAGAUUUAGAAAGAAUACUCAUCUAUCAACAAAAAUUCUUGUUAUCCUAAUUUUUAAAUCAAAAUCCAAAAUCUACAAC